rnacentral:rRNA from 1 species
GGGUUGUGAGGUUAAGCGACUAAGCGUACACGGUGGAUGCCCUGGCAGUCAGAGGCGAUGAAGGGCGUGCUAAUCUGCGAUAAGCGCCGGUAAGGUGAUAUGAACCGUUAUAACCGGCGAUACCCGAAUGGGGAAACCCAGUGUGAUUCGUCACACUAUCAUUAACUGAAUCCAUAGGUUAAUGAGGCGAACCGGGGGAACUGAAACAUCUAAGUACCCCGAGGAAAAGAAAUCAACCGAGAUUCCCCCAGUAGCGGCGAGCGAACGGGGAGGAGCCCAGAGCCUGAAUCAGCAUGUGUGUUAGUGGAAGCGUCUGGAAAGGCGCGCGAUACAGGGUGACAGCCCCGUACACAAAAGCGCAUGUGCUGUGAGCUCGAUGAGUAGGGCGGGACACGUGGUAUCCUGUCUGAAUAUGGGGGGACCAUCCUCCAAGGCUAAAUACUCCUGACUGACCGAUAGUGAACCAGUACCGUGAGGGAAAGGCGAAAAGAACCCCGGCGAGGGGAGUGAAAAAGAACCUGAAACCGUGUACGUACAAGCAGUGGGAGCACAGGUUUACCUGUGUGACUGCGUACCUUUUGUAUAAUGGGUCAGCGACUUAUAUUCUGUAGCAAGGUUAACCGAAUAGGGGAGCCGGAGGGAAACCGAGUCUUAAUUGGGCGUUAAGUUGCAGGGUAUAGACCCGAAACCCGGUGAUCUAGCCAUGGGCAGGUUGAAGGUUGGGUAACACUAACUGGAGGACCGAACCGACUAAUGUUGAAAAAUUAGCGGAUGACCUGUGGCUGGGGGUGAAAGGCCAAUCAAACCGGGAGAUAGCUGGUUCUCCCCGAAAGCU